ACGGGGUGCAGCAGGCGCGAAAACUUCACACUGCAGGAAACUGUGAUGAGGGAACUCCAAGUGCAUGCACAAUGUGUAUGCUUUUCCUUACUUUUAAUCGGUUUGGGAAUAAGGGCUGGGAAAGACCGGUGCCAGCCGCCGCGGUAAUACCGGCAGCUCAAGUGGUCGUCGCUUUUAUUGGGCCUAAAACGUCCGUAGCCUGUUUGGUAAAUCUGUGGGUAAAUCAACCAGCUCAACUGGUUGAAUUCUGCAGAGACUGCCAGACUAGGGACCGGGAGAGGUGUGGGGUACUCUCGGGGUAGGGGUAAAAUCCUGUCAUCCUGGGAGGACCACCAGUUGCGAAGGCGCCACACUGGAACGGAUCCGACGGUCAGGGACGAAGCCUAGGGGCACGAACCGGAUUAGAUACCCGGGUAGUCCUAGGAGUAAACGCUGUGAACUUGGUGUCGGGGAUCCUACUUGGGUUCCCGGUGCCGGAGUGAAGAUGUUAAGUUCACUGCCUGGGGAGUACGGUCGCAAGGCUGAAACUUAAAGGAAUUGGCGGGGGAGCACUGCAACGGGAGGAGCGUGCGGUUUAAUUGGAGUCAACGCCGG
rnacentral:rRNA from 1 species